AUUUCCCCGGGCGUGAGAGCGCGGACUGGAAGCUGGGUGUUCAAAGGGUGUGAGAAGGGACCAAGACCCGCAUCUUCUGGGCAAAGUUUUCGGGGAGAUGGAAGGAGAGAGGGUCGGGACUGAGUUGCUGGUCUUGGGGACAGAGCAGCCGGAGCUGCGCACCAAGGCUUAGAGUCGGGCGGGAGAUGCGGGGAGAGGGAGGGGGCGGGGAGGGAGGGGAGGGAGAGAGGAGGAAGGGGUGAGAGGGAGAAACCUGCCGCGGCUCUCCGCCUCUUUGUCUGCUCUGGGACUUGGAACAAAAGGGGAAACUCUGAUGAACUCCUUCUCCAGCUCCCUGGACGCCCGAGUAUCUCUUUCUCGCAACUUUGUCAACGCGACUUUCUCCGCUGUCAGGCUGCGCAAAAGUAUCCUAGCGCCUCGCAGGCUGCAACAAUGGAAACAAUGUCCCUUCAAAGUGCGACGAAGUGGAGGGAGAAGGUGUCAUACCAGCGACUCCAAGAGUCAUGUCACCCACUUAGCAGGAGUACUUCUACUGAAAUGCCUUCGAAUUUCUCUUACUGGAUAUAUACCUACCAGCCGCUAGCAUGAAGAUGCCAGGACCGCUGCAAGUUAGCACUGGACAAAGUAGCAUCAACUUCUUCAUUUAGAGUUUCUUCAGUUAAAUUGCUGGGAUUUUCGACAAGGCUUUCCUUAUGUGGAUUAUUGGAGUGUGAUGCCCGAGAAUUCUCUACUUGUAGAAGCACGCCCACGGGACUGCAGAAGCCUUCACACCCACCCAGCACGCUCAGGGUUGAUGGCCUAACACUGGCUUAACACUCAUGUCGGCUGCACUAAUUGAAGUCACAUCCAAGUGGGUCAAUGCACUGAACAUAUCUGAUAUAGAAGGUCCCAGAUCCUGAAUUUUUAUCAAUGGUUUGCUGUAUAAGGCUUGCCUCCCAAAUAGCUGAGGACCCUUAUUUGGGAAGAUACGUUCUGAUGGUUAAGCAACAGCACAGAUGUCGAUGGGAAUGAGUGAUGGCCAUCCAGUGACCAGCUGGAUCUGACUGCCUUACAAGACGCAUGUGUAUGAUUAAGAGAGAGACAUUCGUGACUCCCAGAUGUACCUCCUUCCUGUCCCACAGUGUUCCUGAAGGGAGUGAGUUAUGGGGUAACUUAUAACACAGCAGGCUCUUCCUCAAGAUAGCUCUUGUCAAAACAGGAAGACGAAACUCGGGUUUCCAUGAGGAGACCACAGCUUGGGAUCCUGUCUGGAUGUACAAGCAGAAGCAUCUUCAUACUUUUCCAUUUCUAACCAUCAUGCCUCACCCCACCCUCCCAAGGCGACAUCUGCAGAGAGGUGGAACCAUCUAGGGAGGCCUGCCACUGUUUGCUGAGCUCCGGGUGAGGAUGAAGACACUUUGACAUGGCCAGCUUCAGACUCGGGAUCUGUCGGUGUUAGCAGCCGAAGGAGAAUGAGGAGGAAGAGGAGGAGAAAGAGGAGGAGGAAGUAAGACAGAGGGGGACAAGAGGACCAAGAGGGCACAUGGCUGAGGAGGAGGAGAACAACAACAACAACAACAACAACAACAACAACAAGAAGCUUGGUGGUGAAACUUGGAAGCCCUCUCCAGGAUGCAGCAGGUAGCUGAGGAGAAAACGAAGACUGACCAGCCCAGAGCUCAGAGCUUCCUCCCAUGCUCAGGAUUUACCACCAAUGCCAUUACAUCGGCCUCUUCUUGUAUGCCUCUGGAAACCACAUGUGUCCUCUGUUUGUAAUGGUUUGGCUAUGGUUGCUGGCCCCUCUUGGACAUUGUUUUCAGAACUUAAAGAAACAUUGCUUUAAAGAUUUAUUAGAACAUAUUUAAAAUAAAACCAUCUUCUCAUUUAGUAU
ensembl:processed_transcript